UACAGAGGUCUCAAGCGUUGUUCGGAUUCAUUGGGCGUAAAGGGUGCGUAGGCGGGUCUUUAAGUCAGGGGUGAAAUCCUGGAGCUCAACUCCAGAACUGCCUUUGAUACUGAGGAUCUUGAGUCCGGGAGAGGUGAGUGGAACUGCGAGUGUAGAGGUGAAAUUCGUAGAUAUUCGCAAGAACACCAGUGGCGAAGGCGACUCUUUGGCCUGUAACUGACGCUGAGGCGCGAAAGCGUGGGGAGCAAACAGG
rnacentral:rRNA from 1 species